rnacentral:lncRNA from 1 species
CCAACCGUAUCCUUCUACCCUAGGUGGUGCUAUGAUAGACGUCCAAGUUCGGGAAUCGUCAAUAUUAAACUCAACAUAAAAAUGACCGGACGAGCUGCUAGAAUCACUGGACGUACUGGAAGAAGAUGUCGACGGUGAUGAACCUCUACGAUCAGNACCCCCCGUACGGUCAUCCCUAGGUCUUUCAGNCGAAGGAGAAGAGGUAGACAUUACCUUGUGUUACGUACAGAUCGGUGAGUAUUAUAUCUCGUCCGGGAUGCAGUGAUGAGUGUAGUAGGCAAAGUGAAAAUGACAGUGGUCCCUCCCCCCUAUUUAUAGCCGAGAAAAACGGUUCCAUACUAUUAUCUCCACCGUCGAUCUACCUUAGAUCUAACGGUGAGAAAAUCGUGGCUGUUCACGUUUGCAUUGCUGACAUCAUCAGUCAAUCUCAGCCACAUAUGACUACCCAUCUAACGGUUGGAAAUGAAACGUCUUUUCAGCAGUUAUGACCCUCCCACCAUUACAUUUUUUCACACUGCAAGUAUAUGGAUCAAGAAACCCUAACGCUCUUGC